GAUGAACGCUGGCGGCGUACCUAAUACAUGCAAGUCGAGCGAAUGGAUUAAGAGCUUGCUCUUAUGAAGUUAGCGGCGGACGGGUGAGUAACACGUGGGUAACCUGCCCAUAAGACUGGGAUAACUCCGGGAAACCGGGGCUAAUACCGGAUAACAUUUUGAACCGCAUGGUUCGAAUUUGAAAGGCGGCUUCGGCUGUCACUCAUGGAUGGACCCGCGUCGCAUUAGCUAGUUGGUGAGGUAACGGCUCACCAAGGCAACGAUGCGUAGCCGACCUGAGAGGGUGAUCGGCCACACUGGGGCUGAGACACGGCCCAGACUCCUACGGGAGGCAGCAGUAGGGAAUCUUCCGCAAUGGACGAAAGUCUGACGGAGCAACGCCGCGUGAGUGAUGAAGGCUUUCGGGUCGUAAAACUCUGUUGUUAGGGAAGAACAAGUGCUAGUUGAAUAAGCUGGCACCUUGACGGUACCUAACCAGAAAGCCACGGCUAACUACGUGCCAGCCGCCGCGGUAA
rnacentral:rRNA from 1 species